rnacentral:rRNA from 1 species
AAUUUGACCUCAAAUCAGGUAGGACUACCCGCUGAACUUAAGCAUAUCA